AUGGUUGUAGUUCAGUGGUAGAGCAUCUGUUUUUCAUGCAAGAGGUCCAGGUUCAAUCCUUGGCAUCCCCA